rnacentral:tRNA from 1 species
UUUAAUGUGGCAGAAUAAUGCACUAAACUUAAAAUCUACAUAUAAGGCUUACCUUCAUUAAAA